UUUUCCUUGGGCUAUAUUACAUAACAAAUCUCUAAGCAAAAAGUACAAUAAAAACAAGAAAUGAAGCUAUGAAUUAUACUGACAAGAAACUCUGUUUUCCAAAAGCCAUUUGUAAUAUAAAUGUUCUAUACAAGAGGCACUCUUCGAACUAUUAAAAAGAUGAGAUACAAGCUUUACUUUGCCUGUAUACCAAUCAUAAACGUCCUCAGACAGAGGCUAUUAGACUCAUCCUUGUCUCCUUGUUUCUUGCAAUCUCAUUUUAAUGACCAACAGCAAUGUAUGCAUGGAUAUUUCAUCUCGUCCAAAUACUCAAAAGGUCAGCACAAGGCAAGAAUAUUGUUGAAAUUAUAUUAUUUGAUUAUCCAAAGCAGAAAAAUUGAAAUUUCAAAGUUGAACGAUUUGACUAUGAGGUAUAGACUUUAUCUCUGAUUACAUCUGAAUUUAACAAAGAAGAUCUUAUGCAAGAGAAUUCAGUCACUGUGCAUGGAGAGGUCACACCAGUUAACAAAGGUCCUUAGCUCUUCAAGUGCUCAUUGUUGGUGUAGAAAUCUGGCACCUAACUUCAGUAAUCCAGAGUUGAAUACUAUUUGCUUAAGCAUAUGUGAGCAGGUGACAUACAUUGA
rnacentral:misc_RNA from 1 species